rnacentral:rRNA from 1 species
CCUACGGGGGGCAGCAGUGGGGGAUAUUGGACAAUGGGGGAAACCCUGAUCCAGCGAUGCCGCGUGAGGGAAGAAGGUUUUCGGAUUGUAAACCUCUGUGGAGGGGGACGAUAAUGACGGUACCCCUUUAGGAAGCCACGGCUAACUACGUGCCAGCAGCCGCGGUAAUACGUAGGUGGCGAGCGUUGUCCGGAAUUAUUGGGUGUAAAGGGUGCGUAGACGGGAAAUUAAGUUAGUUGUGAAAUCCCCAGGCUCAACUUGGGAAUUGCAACUAAAACUGGUUUUCUUGAGUGAAGUAGAGGCAA